UCUAGAAACCUAUGUUUUUUUUUUUUUUUACAGUAAGUCUUCUUAAAUCCACAGAGGAAAAGGUAUGUCAUUACUUAACAGAUCUACACCUGAUUCAACCACCACAGGAAACUCGUCAGCUUUGUCUUUUUCAAGAAUCAAGGUCUUGGUGACCUCCAACAAGUGCCCUUACAGACCCGCGACAAGGGGCCUUGGUGACCUCUGACGUGUGCCCUUACAGACCCCGACAAGGGGUCUUGGUGACCUCCAACAAGUGCCCUUACAGACCCGCGACAAGGGGCCUUGGUGACCUCUGACAAGUGCCCUUACAGACCCGCGACAAGGGGCCUUGGUGACCUCUGACAUGUGCUCCUUCAGACCCCGACAAGGGGCCUUGGUGACCUCUGACAAGUGCCCUUACAUACCCGUGACAAGGGGUCUUGGUGACCUCUGACAAGUGCCCUUACAGACCCCAACAAGGGGUCUUGGUGACCUCUGACAAGUGCCCUUACAGACCCCGACAAUUGGGUCUAGUGACCUCUGACAGGUGCCCUUACAGACCCCAACAAGGGGUCUUGGUGACCUCUGACAAGUGCUCCUUCAGACCCCAACAAAGGGUCUUGGCGACCUCUGACAAGUUCCCUUACAAACCCCGACAAGUGCCCUUACAGACCCACGACAAGUGGUCUUGGUGACGCCGACAAGUGCUCUUACAGACUCGCAACAAGUGGUCUUGGUGACCCCCGACAAGUGUCCUUACAGACCCCGACAAGUGGUCUUGGUAACCCCCGACAAGGAGUCUUGGUGAACUCUGACAAGUGCCCUUACAGACCCGCAACAAGUGGUCUUGGUGACCCCGACAAGGGCUCUUACAGACCCGCAACAAGUGGUUUUGGUGAACCCCGACAAGUGCCCUUACAGACCCGCAACAAGUAGUCUUGGUGACCCCGACAAGUGCCCUUACAGACCCGCAACAAGUGGUCUUGGUGACCCCGACAAGUGCCCUUACAGACCCGCAACAAGUGGUCUUGGUGACCCCCGACAAGUGCCCUUACAGACCCGUGACAAGUGGGGGAGAAACUAUUUUGACAUUAAAAUUAUUUUUUUUUUAAAACAUCGUGAACUUCUUGUGAGUUUUUAUUUACUCAAGUGUGUGUGUGUGUGUGUGUGUGUGUGAGAGAGAGAGACACUUCUCAUGGUGUGGUGGCAGUUAUCGUCUGUGUGUCGCAUACUCUGCAGGACUCGUGGAAACAGACAUCAGAAUCUACAGCUGUUUUAACAAACUUCAGUUUCACAGACCUUCAACAGCUAAGAAGAUCCUUUAGCUUGUUCACUCUGAGAACAUGCAGUGUCUUCUCACAAUUAUCUUGAAGACUGAUGCCUAUCAGGAGUUUUCCAUUUGGAUUUACAAAAAAGUUCCAUUCUUGUUCCAUUUGAGAUUGAGCUAUUGAAUCCAUUUUGAGCUGUUGAAUCCAACUCUUUUAGACAGCAGUUAAUGUGCUAUGAAGUAUAAAGCAUAUUCUGCAUCUUUGAAGGAAGAAUAUUUACAGGAAACAUGCUACACUCUGUUCUUUUUUUUUAAAUCAAAGAGAAUGAAAACAUUUUUAGUGGUUUUUUUUAUAUCUUCUGAUGUCAAAUCACCUGAGAUCUUUGACUUUUCACUGGAUGUUGUUUAACUUUCUUGCACAUGCUCAGAUGGCAG
ensembl:lncRNA